GAUGAACGCUGGCGGCGUGCCUAAUACAUGCAAGUCGAGCGAACGGACGAGAAGCUUGCUUCUCUGAUGUUAGCGGCGGACGGGUGAGUAACACGUGGAUAACCUACCUAUAAGACUGGGAUAACUUCGGGAAACCGGAGCUAAUACCGGAUAAUAUUUUGAACCGCAUGGUUCAAAAGUGAAAGACGGUCUUGCUGGCACUUAUAGAUGGAUCCGCGCUGCAUUAGCUAGUUGGUAAGGUAACGGCUUACCAAGGCAACGAUGCAUAGCCGACCUGAGAGGGUGAUCGGCCACACUGGAACUGAGACACGGUCCAGACUCCUGCGGGAGGCAGCAGUAGGGAAUCUUCCGCAAUGGGCGAAAGCCUGACAGAGCAACGCCGCGUGAGUGAUGAAGGUCUUCGGAUCGUAAAACUCUGUUAUUAGGGAAGAACAUAUGUGUAAGUAACUGUGCACAUCUUGACGGUACCUAAUCAGAAAGCCACGGCUAACUACGUG
rnacentral:rRNA from 1 species